GGAAAAGAAUAUCCAGAUGCUACAGACUGAUGAAUUGAAACUUGAGUAGGAAGCCAUGGCAAAAGCUGCUCGUGCUCCAUGAGCAGCCCCAGGCAGUAGUUUGGGGGUUUCUGUAUGGAACUCACAGACAAUUCACGUACCGCAGGCACACCACAAGCUGGCAGCCUUUCACAGUCUUGGGAGGAGGUAGGACCUGACUAGUCUAAAUUGUAGGUGGGAAUCUGGCUGGCUGGGAAUCUGGUUGUUUACCGCAGCACCUCUGUAAAGCCAGUUGCCUGGACCCAGGAGGCUGACCGUAUCUGAGUUGUGUACCCUGCUGGGGUUUGCCAGUGAAAAUGAUCAGUAGUGGGACCCUAUUCAGAACAUUUUUGGCCUCAUUUGAGUGGCAUCUGGCUCAUCAUCUGCCUUUAGCAGGUUACUGCCUGCAAGAAGUACCCUUAGGCCAGUGGACCUGCAGUGAAUUCUUGGCCUUUUAUAUCAAGAGUGGCAUUAAGGGGACAGGGAGUGAGACGACUCUGUUGGAAGAAGCUGUGCCCCACCUUGUGCACUCUGCUGUAGGAAAAGAUGUCUUUAUUCUGCUUUGCCAGCCUUGUUUCUUUUUCAGAGCAAGAAAGAAGUGUAAUUUCUCUCAAGUGUCUUGUAAGGACAACUUUUUCAGGUCAUGCAUGGUGUAGUCUUGUUCCAGGGAGGUGCUAACUGAACUCUGUUUUUCUUGAGUUUGUGGUCAUGUAUUGUUGCCAGUCCACGGCUCUUAGGGUGGUAUGUGUGGAGAUCGCCACUGAGAUUUCCUGGUUUCCUAUGUUUGUUUUUAGGUUGUGAACUCCCACGUUCUGGGAGGAAAAGGGAAGUAGCAAAGACAGCUGCGUGAAAACAACAUUUGUUGUGCUAGUUUUUUUCUUUUUCAGUAAGCCAGUGGUUGUGUUCUAUUCUCAUGCUUCUGCGGUGCUGUGUCACUGCUGACAUUGUGGCAGGCAAAUGUUAGUUGACUGGUCCAAAUGUUUUGCACUCACACUGACUUUCUGUGGGAUAUGAGUGCUUUUGACUCCUUUGUAAAUACUGUAAUUAUUAUUCCAUAUGUAUGCAAAAUUUUAGAGGCAUUUUGUCAUCUCUUGUUUAAAUCAACUGUUUUGAUAAUUUGGUUAUUAAAAGAUUAUUAA
rnacentral:lncRNA from 1 species